rnacentral:rRNA from 1 species
GACGAACGCUGGCGGCGUGCCUAAUACAUGCAAGUCGAGCGGAUGACGGAGGAGCUUGCUCCUCUCGAUUCAGCGGCGGACGGGUGAGUAACACGUGGGCAACCUGCCCUGUAGAUUGGGAUAACUCCGGGAAACCGGGGCUAAUACCGAAUAAUCCUUCGGACCUCAUGGUCCGAUGUUGAAAGACGGCUUCGGCUGUCACUACAGGAUGGGCCCGCGGCGCAUUAGCUAGUUGGUGAGGUAACGGCUCACCAAGGCCACGAUGCGUAGCCGACCUGAGAGGGUGAUCGGCCACACUGGGACUGAGACACGGCCCAGACUCCUACGGGAGGCAGCAGUAGGGAAUCUUCCACAAUGGACGAAAGUCUGAUGGAGCAACGCCGCGUGAGUGAAGAAGGUUCUCGGAUCGUAAAACUCUGUUGUGAGGGAAGAACAAGUACCGGAGUAACUGCCGGUACCUUGGCGGUACCUCAUUAGAAAGCCACGGCUAACUACGUGCCAGCAGCCGCAGUAACAC